GCCCCCUUAAUCGUAAACGUGUUCAAGAAGGAGAAGAAACUGGACGUUUCAAGUAUGGAAUGUGGCUUGCUACAAAAACCCCAAAUUUCACCAAGAGUCUUCGAAGGUUAUCUGCAAAUUCCCAAAUCCAGUUAUCUUCGUUGGAAGGAAGAUCCUCUUCUAUAAAAGCAAGCUUGUCCAUUAUUCCCUACCAAAAACAAAACUCUCCAGAAAAUCGAUCAACUAACCGG
rnacentral:misc_RNA from 1 species